CUACGGGACGCUCCAGUGGGGAAUUUUGCGCAAUGGGCGAAAGCCUGACGCAGCAAUACCGCGUGAGUGAAGAAGGCCUUUGGGUCGUAAAGCUCUUUUAUUGGGGAAGAUAGUGACGGUACCCAAUGAAUAAGCACCGGCUAACUCCGUGCCAGCAGCCGCGGUAAUACGGAGGGUGCAAGCGUUGUUCGGAUUUACUGGGCGUAAAGGGCACGUAGGCGGCAUAGCAAGUUAAGGGUGAAAUCCCGGGGCUCAACUCCGGAACUGCUCUUAAAACUGCUAAGCUAGAGAUAGUCAGAGGCGGGUAGAAUUCCUGGUGUAGAGGUGAAAUUCGUAGAUAUCAGGAGGAAUACCGGAGGCGAAGGCGGCCCGCUGGGGCUAUUCUGACGCUAAGGUGCGAAAGCGUGGGGAGCGAACGGGAUUAGAUACCCGUGUAGUC
rnacentral:rRNA from 1 species